GGUCUCGUUUGUCCUCUCCGCCCCGGCCUCGCGGGUUGYGGGGCGGACWCGAGGCACGCCCCGUGCUCCCGGCAAGCCUCGCCCAGUCGCUUGGCUGCUUCGGCCCACGGUGUGCUCUGCCCGUUCUCUCGGAUGCAGAACGUUACGCGCGGGCGUGGGGUCUUCCGGCUCUGUUUGCCCAAGCAACGCAUCUGUCCCUCGACGCGAACGACUGCCGUGCCCGUCUUGAGCCCGCGGCCUCACGG
rnacentral:misc_RNA from 1 species